GUCAGUAUUCUGAAUUGGAAUUCAAUUUCAUUUAGUGAUAAUAUUUAAUUAGCUUUAAAUGAAGUUUUAAUGUUUUUUUUAGUGAAGACAUUAAAUUGUCAGUUAUAUUUGUAAGUUUAAAAGAAUUUUCCUACAGUCUUGAAUUUGAAUUUUUAAUCUUGUAAAUGAAUGCAUUUAAAUCCAUUUGCACCAGUUAUGGGUGAUUUGAAUUUUGAAUCUUGUAAAUGAAUGCAUUUAAAUCUAUGUACCAUUUAUGGGUGGCCAUGAUUGAUGGCGUACAUUCUUGGCCUAGUAGCGGCAAUUUUGUGCCAUUUUGUUGGCUUGUUUAUUGUAUUUAACUUGUUACUUAAAAUUUUUGACAUUAUUUUGAAUAUCAAAGUUUUAUUUUAAUAUUUAUAUUUUAGUACUUAUUAAUUAUAUUCUUAGUAAUUAUUUAGCAUGUUAUAUAUCUAGCCAAAGGGUCUCCCUUUGGUUAUAUAUAUUUUUGUUUUUUAUAUUUAUCUUUUAUUUUUGACGGAUUAUUUUAUAUUUAUUAUUUCAUCCAACUACCUUCUUUUGAAGAAGUUUACUAUUUUAAUAAUUAAUUUAUAAUUAUGUUUCUUGUUAUUAAUGGAUUGUUUUUUGUUUCAUGUAGCGUGAUCUUACAAGUUGAGACGUUUCUCUUUUCGGACAUUAAGUAUUAUUGUCUAAACUUCCGGAGACAUUUUCAUGUUUUUCGGUUAAAUAAUAAGUUUUUUGAAUGAAAGAAACUCCUCGUAGUAUUGUUUUAUCUCAUUGCGGGCAAGUGCAUUUCUAUCACAAUAAAAAUAAGGAAGAAACAUAAAUCUAGUAUUUAACAUAAAAUUAAACUAGAAUUAAAUUAAUCUAGAUUUUGACUUCUAUGUUCCAUAUUGAUUGAUAGUUGUUUCACAAAGACAAAUUAAAAAGCAGCAUCAUAAUAUCAUGCACGGAUACAUAUAUAAAUGUCCAUAUAUAUAUAUAUAUAUAUAUCUCUGUGUGUGUGUGUGUGUGUGUGUGUGUUUAGUUCUGUGAUGCAAAUUGAAGACCGUGUCAAUAUUUCCAAGUGCUAAGGCACCUAGCGUCUAUACAGUGAAGUUUCUUAUGCAUAGACUAUAGAGGCACCAAGUGUGUUUUAGAUGUCAAAAUGGAUAAGUAUGGAAGUACCUGGCACUUGUCACAUACAAACACCUAUAUGUGGUGCCAGGUGAGCGUGGCUGAUGAAAUUCUAAGUAUAUGGAGGACCUGGUGCCUAUACUAUACUGUGCUUGUCUUGGAGAAUCGUCAGAUGAUGGCUUGAAGGAUAUUUGGCUAAGGCAAGGCAGCACCUGGCGCUUGCGACAUACAAACCUAUGUAUGAGGCGCCAUGUGGUGUCAAAGAGGAGAUUUGGCUAAGUAAAGACAAGACUUGACGCUUUUCUCAUACUCUACCAUGUAUGAGGCGCCAGGUGGUGUAAAUUAAUGAGAAUGCUAAGUUAAAUGUAUCCACACAAUUAAAUCCAUGUGUAAGGAAUUAGGUGAAGCAAUGCAUAGCCAUAUACAGUGAAGAAACUUGAAGAACCAUGUCCUCCUAACCAUUGUUAAAUAUGAAGCCUAUAAAUAGAGAAGCCUGUAAAUAGAGAAGCCAACUUCAUUUUUUAAGUUAAGCAACUACAAACAUUGUAUUGUGCACAUACUUUACACACAUAUCCUCUAAGAGCUAAGACAGUUAAUCAAUAGACUAGACGAGAGUAUUUCUAUAGAGUGUAACACUUAGUCUUGUAGCCGACUUACGAGUUGGAUUUAUAGUACCCUCCAAAUUAAUAUAUCGAACGAUAAAUUACCCCGAACUUACUAGUUUAUUCAUUUUGAUUGAAUACAAACUAUAAUGAACAUGUCGUAAAUCAAAUUGAAUUGAACGAAAUGGAUAAUUUGGUAAAGACAUAUUCAAACCCCCUCUUAUACGUCUAUUUGGACCUAACAAUUGGUAUCAAAGCUACGUUGAUCGACAUACAGAUUUGAGAUCCAUAAUAGCCAUAAAGCUAUUUCUACACUUAAUCGAAAAAUAUGUCUACACACAUUUUAGGAAUCAAGGUACCUCUAUUCGAAAAGGAUGACUAUAGAAAUUGGAAAAUGAAGAUGAUCUUUUAUGUGAGAGCUACUAAUCCCCUGCACAUUAGGAUUUUAAAAAAUGCUCCACAUGUACAAAUGAAGAUUAUACCUGAAUCUGAUGAAAACGGAGUUCACACACAUCAGAAAUCUGUUCCAAAGAAAAAGAGAUAAUUCACUAAAACCGACAAGGAAUACAUUGCCCAUGACUAUAAUCUGCAACUCAUCAUAGUCGAGGCAAUGAACAAAACAGUGUCCCACCUGAUACUGAGCUUGAAAUCUGCAAAGCAAAUGUGAGAUGCUGUUGAAGCAUUGAUGGAUGGAUCUGUAGCUUUCAGAACAUAUCCAUUUUCACUUUCCAAGUAGGAUAUUCAGAUGCCUUUAAUAUAGGAAUAGUAUAGUAGAUUCGUAUCUACUGGUUGUUGGAUUUUGUGUUUUCUCAGUCGUGAUUAUAUAUCUUUUUAGAUCUUAACUGUUGUAUUAUAACAGAUUGGCUCUGAUACCAAUUGUUAGGUCUAGAAUCACUAUAGAAGAGGGGUUGAGUAUAGUUGGAUACAUUCAAAUCGAACUUAGAGUACAAUAUAAAAUAAAAAUCAGCUUUUAUUCAAUAUAUAAAAACUGAUACAGUAGAAGAACAACUACUCUCUUAGUGAUGUAUGUUUAUCACUAAGAGUUGCAAGGUUACAAAGAACAAUAUUGUCAAUAUUUAAUAACACAGUGGUGUAAAACGAAGUUAUGUUUAUAUAGUACACAGUUAGAUGAUAUCUAAUAAUUGAUAUAAUACUAAUUUUAUUUCUAAAAGAUAUCAGUCAGAGAUUCCUAUACUAAUCUUCCUAAACUCCUGAACUGUCGUAUCUCUAUAGAAUAUAUCUGCUUUAAAUCAUCCAGAUUCGCUCUUGAAAAUCACCCACCUAUAAACUCUGAGAAAUUUCUUCCUUGAAUAAACUCUGAUUUCUCCUUGUCUUCAGCAAUCUCUGACUCCCAGUUGAAGUCUAACAUGCAUUACCUGUAACUCAUCAAAGCAGUUAAGCCUGAUAUCAUCAAAUAUCUAAAAUAUCUUUCUAAAUUCAUAUUCUCUAUUAUUUAAUUUAUUAAUGGAAGUACCAUUUUACCCCACUCCCUCCCUCUCUCAUCUCUCUCCUGCCUCUCGUCGUCGCUGGUCGGAUUUCGUUCCGAUGUCUCUCCCCCUCCCCCUCUCUCCUACCUCUCGUAUUCACUACAGAUGAUUAUUACAUGAUUCAUAGCUUCAUUUAUUAGUGGAUUAUAUGUUGUCCCACAAUGUAUACAUGCAAGCUUAGGUGAUAUCUUUCCUUCUAAGAUUAAAGAUUUUUUGGAAAAUCGGUGACUUUAAAAGUUCAGAUCAUGUCUGAUAAUGUUUUGCUCAACAACAAUAUCUUCCUUGCGACGGAUGAUUUUGACUAUGUUUUUGAUGGAUCGACGAGCUUCGAUAGUUCAGCUAUUAAUCUUACCAAUUCCAGGUUUGAUGACGUAAGUCUUAUAAAUUAUUCAGUCUUCGAGAUGUUUAGCCAGUUUGAAUCAAAGUAAUUGACUAACUUUCAAAUUAAAUCAAAUUUUAUGGAGGAAAGCUGUUGAAAUUAUUUAGAGUGGUGAAACACCUGUUUCUGAAAAGUCAUGCACGAAAAAAAAUUAAGAUGAAGCCUUGAAGCCAGUUCACGUUUCCUUGAUUUAUGCCUUUCAUACCUUGCAGAUGUUGCACUGCUGGUUUCCUGAUUAUCAAUUACUACUACUAUCUGAAAUGUCUUUGAGCGACAUUGUACAACUCUUCUUUAAUGUACUUUAUUGGUUUGUUUGAA